rnacentral:lncRNA from 1 species
UUUUUCAAAUCUCUCCAUGAGAGUGACAAUUUUUCAAUUAUUGUUGAUACCUAAAAAGAUUCACUUAAGGUCAUAUUCUCAGCAUGGAUUUACUUGGAUUUCCUCGACCUGACUAGUUACAGUUCUUGAAUCCACCAGUAAUCCAUAAUUUUUUCCACCAUUAAUUUCUUUGAAUCAACAUAAAUUUUCAAUUAUUUUGGCACGCAUUACCCUCUACCAACAGAAGUUUGGG